UACGUAGGGUGCGAGCGUUGUCCGGAAUUAUUGGGCGUAAAGAGCUCGUAGGCGGUGUGUCACGUCGGCCGUGAAAACCUGCAGCUUAACUGUGGGCGUGCGGUCGAUACGGGCAUCACUGGAGUUCGGCAGGGGAGACUGGAAUUCCUGGUGUAGCGGUGAAAUGCGUAGAUAUCUGGAGGAAUACCGGUGGCGAAGGCGGCAUCCUGGACCGACAUUGACGCUGAGGAGCGAAAGCUAGGGGAGCAAACGGG
rnacentral:rRNA from 1 species